GAGUUUGAUCUUGGCUCAGGAUGAACGCUAGCGGCAGGCUUAAUACAUGCAAGUCGAGGGGCAGCAUGGUGUAGCAAUACACUGAUGGCGACCGGCAAACGGGUGCGGAACACGUACGCAACUUUCCCAAAACUGGUGAAUAGCCCUCCGAAAGGAGGAUUAAUACACCGUAACUUAAUGAAGUGGCAUCACUUUAUUAAUAUAGCUCCGGCGGUUUUGGAUGGGCGUGCGCCUGAUUAGGUAGUUGGUAGGGUAACGGCCUACCAAGCCAACGAUCAGUAACUGGUGUGAGAGCACGACCAGUCACACGGGCACUGAGACACGGGCCCGACUCCUACGGGAGGCAGCAGUAAGGAAUAUUGGUCAAUGGACGAAAGUCUGAACCAGCCAUGCCGCGUGAAGGAUGAAGGCCCUCUGGGUUGUAAACUUCUUUUAUAGGGGACGAAAAAAGGGAAUUCUUCUCACUUGACGGUACCCUAGGAAUAAGCACCGGCUAACUCCGUGCCAGCCGCCGCGGUAAU
rnacentral:rRNA from 1 species